AUGAAAUAAAAACUAAAUCAAACCCUGAAAUUCUUGCCAGUGAAUGUUUGACCGAACUGCCAAUUGGCGGGAACGAUGUUCCAAGAGGUGGAAGUGCGCCUGUCACUGCCUGUCACCCUGAAAGACAGCGUCUGUCCCACUAGCCCCGCGUUUGACUGCCAGUUCUGACCCCAGUUCCGGCUCAUGCUCAUCCAUCCGGUCUUAGAUCCUU